rfam:Gossypium hirsutum cultivar TM-1 chromosome 24, whole genome shotgun sequence
UAUUAAAAAUUUCAUUAAUUUGUAGUGUUAAAAAAUAGUGUGCCUAACAGAAUAACCAAAUAAUAACACGUAGCGUGACAUAUGUACGUCAUGCUUACGUACAAAGACCAAUUUUUAACAAUAAAAAAUAGAUGAAAUUUUAGAAA